UACGGAGGGUGCAAGCGUGUCCGGAAUCACUGGGCGUAAAGGGCGCGUAGGCGGCUCUGAAAGUCAGAUGUGAAAGCCCCGGGCUUAACCUGGGAAUUGCAUUUGAUACUCUGGAGCUUGAGUACGGGAGAGGAGAGUGGAAUUCCAGGUGUAGCGGUGAAAUGCGUAGAUAUCUGGAGGAACACCGGUGGCGAAGGCGGCAUCCUGGACCGGCAUUGGACGCUGAGUGAGCGAAAGCCAGGGGAGCAA
rnacentral:rRNA from 1 species